rnacentral:SRP_RNA from 2 species
GCUGGGCAUGGUGGCGCAUACCUGUAAUCCCAGCUACUCAAGAAGCUGAGGUGGGAGGAUCGCUUGAGCCUGGGAGGUGGAGGUUGCAGUGAGCAGAGAUCGUGCCACUGCACUCCAGCCUGGGCGACAGAGUGAGACUCCAUCUCAA